GGCAGCAGGGCGCUGGUGUGCCAAUAGCUCUCAUAAGGCUAAGGGGAAGGUUCGAAACCUUCUGUUGCUAC
rnacentral:tRNA from 1 species